rnacentral:rRNA from 1 species
AACGAACGCUGGCGGCAUGUCUAACACAUGCAAGUCGAACGAGACCUUCGGGUCUAGUGGCGCACGGGUGCGUAACGCGUGGGAACCUGCCCUUAGGUUCGGAAUAACUCCCCGAAAGGGGUGCUAAUACCGGAUAAUGUCUUCGGACCAAAGAUUUAUCGCCUUUGGAUGGGCCCGCGUUGGAUUAGCUAGUUGGUAGGGUAAAAGCCUACCAAGGCGACGAUCCAUAGCUGAUCUGAGAGGAUGAUCAGCCACACUGGGACUGAGACACGGCCCAGACUCCUACGGGAGGCAGCAGUGGGGAAUAUUGGACAAUGGGCGAAAGCCUGAUCCAGCAAUGCCGCGUGAGUGAUGAAGGCCUUAGGGUUGUAAAGCUCUUUUACCCGGGAUGAUAAUGACAGUACCGGGAGAAUAAGCUCCGGCUAACUCCGUG